CUGGCUCAGGAUGAACGCUAGCGACAGGCCUAACACAUGCAAGUCGAGGGGCAGCACAAGGAGCAAUCUGAGGUGGCGACCGGCGCACGGGUGAGUAACACGUAUGCAACCUGCCUGUAAGCGGGGAAUAACCCGUUGAAAGACGGACUAAUACCGCAUAAUACUAAAUUACUGCAUGGUAAUUUAUUUAAACAUUUAUGGCUUACAGAUGGGCAUGCGCAUGAUUAGCUAGUUGGAGAGGUAACGGCUCCCCAAGGCAACGAUCAUUAGGGGUUCUGAGAGGAAGGUCCCCCACACUGGUACUGAGACACGGACCAGACUCCUACGGGAGGCAGCAGUGAGGAAUAUUGGUCAAUGGACGAGAGUCUGAACCAGCCAAGUCGCGUGCAGGAAGAAAUGUCCUAUGGAUUGUAAACUGCUUUUGCAGGGGAAUAAAGUGAGCCACGUGUGGUUUUUGUAUGUACUCUGCGAAUAAGGAUCGGCUAACUCCGUGCCAGCAGCGGC
rnacentral:rRNA from 1 species